UUAUAGUUUGUGAAGAUGAUCUUUGCCUAAUUAAGAAGAUCGCUAAUAGAACUGUAUAUUCUCGUUAACAAUACAUGCCUGACUGGUUAUUUCAGGAUCGUUAAGUUCACUGCAUAAAGUUGUUGCUAAAAGACUAAAGAGUCCAAUUCUGCAGAAAUUUGGGUGUGAAGCAUAUUAAUCCAACGGAGCAGAAACAUCUCCUAGUGUAGACGAGGAUUUCUCUAGGAUACCCUGACCCGGCUUCACCCUUACCGUAGGGCCAAGCCGUUUGCUCCCUCCAAUGCAUUAUAAAGUCAAGCGUCAAUGACCCAACGGAUGCCAAACUAGUGCAGAAUUCAGAUAACUGAAGAGUGCUGCAUUUUGGGAGCUAUAAAGAGCUAAGAUUGGAUCAAAUACUGAAAGGAAAGAACCAGGAAAGCAUCUUGGUGCUGCAGCAACGCUCGUAUGCUGCGGCCACCCCAUACAUACUCAGCAUGGUGGUGCCUGCACCGGAAUGAACCCGGAUGCCUUGUGGGUGAACAUAAGCAAUGCUUUAACCCCCCGCCACCGCUACCGUUUGGGGCAGAUUCCACCACAGCCUCUGGUGCUUGCUGUGCCGCCCUUCCGUGGACUGCCAUGGUCACCGUCAAGCCGUCCCAUCUCCGCUGCCAUGAGAAUUCCCGAAGGCUUAUCACAGGAAAACCAGGGUGACACAUCUGUUAUGUUCUGUUCUGUUCUGUUCUUCUCCC